UACGUAGGAUACGAGCGUUGUCCGGAGUUACUGGGCGUAAAGGGUGCGCAGGCGGCCCUGCGCGUCGCGAGUGAAAUCUCCCGGCUCAACUGGGAGGGUGGUCGCGAGACGGCAGGACUUGAGGCUCGGUGAGGGGCGUGGAAUUCCGGGUGGAGCGGUGAAAUGCGUAGAGAUCGGGAGGAACACCUGCGGCGAAAGCGGCUCACUGGACCAUAACUGACGCUGAUGCACGAAAGCUAGGGGAGCAAACAGG
rnacentral:rRNA from 1 species